GGCGUUAUCCGGAUUUAUUGGGUUUAAAGGGAGCGUAGGCUGGAGAUUAAGUGUGUUGUGAAAUGUAGACGCUCAACGUCUGACUUGCAGCGCAUACUGGUUUCCUUGAGUACGCACAACGUUGGCGGAAUUCGUCGUGUAGCGGUGAAAUGCUUAGAUAUGACGAAGAACUCCGAUUGCGAAGGCAGCUGACGGGAGCGCAACUGACGCUUAAGCUCGAAGGUGCGGGUAUCGAACAGGAUUAGAUACCCUGGUAGUCCGCACAGUAAACGAUGGAUGCCCGCUGUUGGUACCUGGUAUCAGCGGCUAAGCGAAAGCAUUAAGCAUCCCACCUGGGGAGUACGCCGGCAACGGUGAAACUCAAAGGAAUUGACGGGGGCCCGCACAAGCGGAGGAACAUGUGGUUUAAUUCGAUGAUACGCGAGGAACCUUACCCGGGCUUGAAUUGCAGAGGAAGGAUUUAGAGAUAAUGACGCCCUUCGGGGUCUCUGUGAAGGUGCUGCAUGGUUGUCGUCAGCUCGUGCCGUGAGGUGUCGGCUUAAGUGCCAUAACGAGCGCAACCCCUGUCUUUAGUUGCCAUCAGGUUAAGCUGGGCACUCUGGAGACACUGCCACCGUAAGGUGUGAGGAAGGUGGGGAUGACGUCAAAUCAGCACGGCCCUUACGUCCGGGGCUACACACGUGUUACAAUGGCCGGUACAGAGGGA
rnacentral:rRNA from 1 species